UCUUUAGAGAUUUUCUUUGUUGACCGAGGCUAUGGUUGAAGCAUCGAAUGACACAGGUGCUAAUAGUGGGCUUAAGCAUAUAGAGAACAUGGUGCUGUUCCAAUAUCUCGUUCGCACACUUGAGGCUGAUUUUAUACCUCGUCAUAUUGCAUAUAAAGAGUCAUUAGACUGGGUGAUC